GGAGCCACAGCUAGGUUAAAGAUUCUACAGACCUGACUAAUAAUUAGAAUGUUAUGGUGUGGAGGGAGAGUUAGAAUGUUGCAGAUCCAGAGCUAAAUUAUCCUGGGCGGCCUUCAGUUUCUUUAAUAGACACUUUUGUGUCUGACCUAACAUCUUUGCAACUGUAAGGCAAACCCUUUUGAAUAGUAGUAUGGUUGCUUGAUCCAGUAAUCCCAGCACGUGAAGGGUGGAAGCAAGAACUUCAGGAGCUCAAGGUCAUUGUCCAUCACAGAGUCGGAAACUCCGUGAAAUGGUUCCCGAGUUGGGAUAUGCUACUUGAGACAACCUAAACUUGUGCUCGGCGGCAGGGUCACGCAUAUUUGGCCCAGGAAUAAACUCUUCUUUUGAUAUGUUUUGUAUUCACACCUAAAG
rnacentral:lncRNA from 1 species